UGGGGAAUAUUGGGCAAUGGGCGAAAGCCUGACCCAGCGACGCCGCGUGGGUGAUGAAGGCCUUCGGGUUGUAAAGCCCUUUCGUGCGGAACGAACAGUCUCGCGACUAAUACUCGCGGGAUUUGACGGUACCGCAGGAAGAAGCACCGGCUAACUCCGUGCCAGCAGCCGCGGUAAUACGGAGGGUGCAAGCGUUGUUCGGAAUUACUGGGCGUAAAGGGCGCGCAGGCGGUUGUGCAAGUCAGUUGCGAAAUCCCCCGGCUUAACCGGGGAACUGCAUCUGAAACUGCAUGACUCGAGUACAGAAGAGGGAAACGGAAUUCCCGGUGUAGAGGUGAAAUUCGUAGAUAUCGGGAGGAACACCAGUGGCGAAGGCGGUUUCCUGGUCUGAUACUGACGCUGAGGCGCGAAAGCGUGGGGAGCAAACAG
rnacentral:rRNA from 1 species